AAAUACCCACCCUAGUCACUGAGGACUUCAACAGUUGGCACAAAACAAUUCUUCAAACACACCCCAAAAUUUUUUCAGUUUGGUGCCGGUGAAACGGUCACAAGUAAGACCACUCUGCCUAUAUGAAUAGGUGUGUGGCUUAGUAUUUAUUUCAGCUCGUUAUAAACGUUAGCUAUAUAUAAAUAGUAUUUAGAGGCGUUAGCAGAGGCCUUUACAAUAGUAGGCUUUAAGAGUAUUUUAAUAGUAGUAACAUAAAAAUAUCUUAAAAAUAAAUACUGAGUAUGUUAACAGGUUUUUUAAAAUACUUGGAACUGUGACUAAACGCGACAAUUUAUCGCUAUCGAAAUAUUCUUAUAGAAAUAGUAGGCUUUAAGAGCUUUGUUUAACAAUGUUAACAUAGAAAAUAAAUGCUGAAUGUUUUAACAGGUUUUAAAUACAUGGAAUUAUGACUAAACGCGACAAAUUAUUACUAUCGAAAUAUUCUUAUAGGAACUGUUAACUGUGAGGUGUGACCAAAAAUGCCUGAGUAUCGAUGUCAAGAGUCACUGCCGCGAAUAUCGAUAGUGGCCUUAGUGACCCGAUAUCGCGGCAUGACAAUCGAAAAAAGCCAGCAUGGCUGGUUUGUUUACAUUUUUAGAAUUUACAAGUUUGCUAAUAAAAAUUUACUUUUCAGGUUGUUCGCGGCUUUCUGCCAACAGGAUUUGGAGUUGCCGCAUCCACAGGAAGACGUCCAGUGUCGAUGGAGGUGUACCAGCCAGCGGAGUCGGCGGAGGGUGUGUGUUGCAGCACGUGUCAGCCUCAUUCAAAGCCUCUGGAGAGUCCGGAUUAAUGUGGUUGGCAAUUUCAUAUACAGCCAGCUGUAGAUUAGCGACGCCAACUUCAGGAGAGUCCACCGUCGGUUGUUGGCUAAUUUGCCACCGAGUUUGCUGUGAAUACUGGAUGCACACUGACCCCAAGGGAGCAGUGGCAGAAGGAGCUGGUCCAGCUGGAUAUGAUAAGGACUCGUGAGAGCAGGAGGCGCUAAUCAAGGAUGUAGCGGAGACCAGUUCUUUUCAGUUUGGUGCCGGUGAAACGAUCACAAGUAAGACCACUCUGCAUAUAUGAAUAGGUGUGUGGCUUAGUAUUUAUUUCAGCUCGUUAUAAACGUUAGCUAUAUAUAAAUAGUAUUUAGAGGCGUUAGCAGAGGCCUUUACAAUAGUAGGCUUUAAGAGUAUUUUAACAGUAGUAACAUAAAAAUAUCUUAAAAAUAAAUACUGAGUAUGUUAA